UACGGAGGGGGCAAGCGUUGUUCGGAAUUACUGGGCGUAAAGGGCGCGUAGGCGGCUCGACAAGUCCCGCGUGAAAGCCCCCGGCUCAACUGGGGAACUGCGCGGGAAACUGUCGGACUUGAGUUCGGGAGAGGGAAGCGGAAUUCCGGGUGUAGCGGUGAAAUGCGUAGAUAUCCGGAGGAACACCGGUGGCGAAGGCGGCUUCCUGGACCGACACUGACGCUGAGGCGCGAAAGCUAGGGGAGCAAACGGG
rnacentral:rRNA from 1 species